AUUGAACGCUGGCGGCAGGCCUAACACAUGCAAGUCGAACGAGUGGCGGACGGGUGAGUAAUGUCUGGGAAACUGCCCGAUGGCGGGGGAUACCUACUGGAAACGGUAGCUAAUACCGCAUACCAUCGGAUGUGCCCAGAGGGGAUUAGCUAGUAGUUGGGGUAAAGGCUCACCUAGGCGACGAUCCCUACCUGGUCUGAGAGGAUGACCAGCCACAAUGGAACUGAGAACCGGUCCAGACUCCUCCGGUAGGCAGCAGUGGGGAAGAGUGCACAAUGGGCGCAAGCCUGAUGCAGCAAUGCCGCGGGUAUGAAGAAGGCCUUCGGGUUGUAAAGUACUUUCAGCGAGGAGGCGUUACUCGCAGAAGAAGCACCGGCUAACUCCGUGCCAGCAGCCGCGGUAAUAC
rnacentral:rRNA from 1 species